rnacentral:rRNA from 1 species
ACGGAAGGCAGCAGUGGGGAAUAUUGCACAAUGGGCGAAAGCCUGAUGCAGCGACGCCGCGUGAGUGAAGAAGUAUCUCGGUAUGUAAAGCUCUAUCAGCAGGGAAGAAAAUGACGGUACCUGACUAAGAAGCCCCGGCUAACUACGUGCCAGCAGCCGCGGUAAUACGUAGGGGGCAAGCGUUAUCCGGAUUUACUGGGUGUAAAGGGAGCGUAGACGGCAAGGCAAGUCUGAUGUGAAAACCCAAGGCUCAACCAUGGGACUGCAUUGGAAACUGUCUAGCUAGAGUGCAGGAGAGGUAAGUGGAAUUCCUAGUGUAGCGGUGAAAUGCGUAGAUAUUAGGAGGAACACCAGUGGCGAAGGCGGCUUACUGGACUGUAACUGACGUUGAGGCUCGAAAGCGUGGGGAGCAAACAGGAUUAGAUACCCUGGUA